rnacentral:tRNA from 1 species
UGGAGAGGUGGCCGAGUGGCUUAAGGCGGCGGUCUUGAAAACCGCAGUACGGGAAACUGUACCGGGGGUUCGAAUCCCUCCCUCUCCGA